rnacentral:rRNA from 1 species
AGUGAACGCUGGCGGUAGGCCUAACACAUGCAAGUCGAACGGCAGCACGGUAAGAGCUUGCUCUUACGGGUGGCGAGUGGCGGACGGGUGAGGAAUACAUCGGAAUCUACUUUUUCGUGGGGGAUAACGUAGGGAAACUUACGCUAAUACCGCAUACGACCUACGGGUGAAAGCAGGGGAUCUUCGGACCUUGCGCGAUUGAAUGAGCCGAUGUCGGAUUAGCUAGUUGGCGGGGUAAAGGCCCACCAAGGCGACGAUCCGUAGCUGGUCUGAGAGGAUGAUCAGCCACACUGGAACUGAGACACGGUCCAGACUCCUACGGGAGGCAGCAGUGGGGAAUAUUGGACAAUGGGCGCAAGCCUGAUCCAGCCAUACCGCGUGGGUGAAGAAGGCCUUCGGGUUGUAAAGCCCUUUUGUUGGGAAAGAAAAGCAGCAGGUUAAUACCCCGCUGUUCUGACGGUACCCAAAGAAUAAGCACCGGCUAACUUCGU